rnacentral:rRNA from 1 species
UACGUAGGGUGCAAGCGUUGUCCGGAAUUAUUGGGCGUAAAGAGCGUGUAGGCGGCCCGAUCAGUCCGCUGUGAAAGUCCAGGGCUCAACCCCUGGGAUGCCGGUGGAUACUGUCGGGCUAGAGUCCGGAAGGGGCGAGUGGAAUUCCUGGUGUAGCGGUGAAAUGCGCAGAUAUCAGGAGGAACACCAAUGGCGAAGGCAGCUCGCUGGGACGUGACUGACGCUGAGACGCGAAAGCGUGGGGAGCAAACAGG